GGAAGAAGUUUGACUAAUUUUGAUUUUGUUGUGUGGCUACAUUAUUAAGGUCAACAUAGAUAAAGAUGAGGAUUACAUAUCAAAUUCAUUGGCUGCAGAGUUGCCAAGAUGGAUGAAGGUUUGAUAAUAUUACUGGGGAAACGAUCUGCAAAUUUCCUCAACAUCUGCCGCUUCCUGCCACAAGACACCUGCACCUUUAACUGCUGAAAACAAAAGCAACAACCAUGCUGGCAAUGCCACUUCUACUAUUGCAUUUGGUCUUCUUUAUGGAGAUAAACGCAGUGGAAGAGACACGCUAUGGUCUGGAAGGACAGUCUGUGUGUUUGGACCCAAGAGGACAGCCUCCAUUUGAUUCUGCCAAAUGGAGCCAUGAAGAUGAGAAUAUUAUUUCAAACAAUAACAUUAAUCCUGAGUUUGAAAAGAAAAUAAAUUAUUACGAAUCCAAUUACACGUUAUGCAUCAAAACACUGGCUAAGGAGGACAAUGGAAUCUAUACAUUUUCCCAUGAAGUCAAAUUUAAGAACAUCCAUAACAAAUAUAGACUUAAAGUUCAAGCUGCAGUUCCUAAACCUGCCUUGAAUGUCACUCUGGAGCAGGUCAAUUCAUCCACAGGUGUUUGCAUCUUUACUGUGAACUGUUCUGUUCAAUACAACACUAAGAUCCACCGGCUUCAGUCCGAGUGCAACAAAGAUGGCUGCCAAUCUGCCUACAAAACCUUCUCUCACAUCAACAUCACCAUCUCCAGUGAAAAUGGAACACUUACCUGUACCAGUAACAAUCAUGUCAGCUCAAAAGAGGAUUCACGAGUGAUAGAAGAAUUCUGUUUUUCAGGUUUCAAUUCUGGACACCAAGAGCAC
ensembl:lncRNA